UACGUAGGGUGCGAGCGUUAAUCGGAAUUACUGGGCGUAAAGCGUGCGCAGGCGGUUAUGUAAGACAGAUGUGAAAUCCCCGGGCUCAACCUGGGAACUGCAUUUGUGACUGCAUAGCUAGAGUACGGUAGAGGGGGAUGGAAUUCCGCGUGUAGCAGUGAAAUGCGUAGAUAUGCGGGAGGAACACCGAUGGCGAAGGCAAUCCCCUGGACCUGUACUGACGCUCAUGCACGAAAGCGUGGGGAGCAAACAGG
rnacentral:rRNA from 1 species